AGAGUGACGACUAUUGAGCAGUUCAUUACUGAUUGACAGCUUUGAGCAGUUCUCUACCGUUAAACAACCUACCGGCUUGACCAGCUACCCAUCUACCUACUCAUCUACCUUCUUCACUAGCUACCUAUCUACCUUCACCACCUUCUCAUCUACCUUCU